AGGAUGCUUGAUGAAAAAUUCAUGGUCUGGCGUAGCAGCAGCCUGCUCUGACUCCUGAGUAAACGAAAACACUCCGACUCUGCCGCACGCAGCGAACACAGGCCAGAAAAUAAAGAAUCCCAAGCCCCACAGAGACAUUCGAAUUGUGCAAUAAACAAAUCGCUGUCCAUCGCAGUGCGCAGUCUUCUAAUCUAAAAUUGGAAAUCCAAUACCGAACAAAUUAGGCAACCGCGAGUGUCCCGAAAAAUACAUCCUUUAAUACAUAUAGUUUUGAAAUCCUGCGAGUGAUUGUAUAAUUUCAACGGGUGUGGGAGCACAACGGCAGCGGCCAAAUAGAUGUAUCCUUAAUCCCCACCAGGAUAUAUCCCCGAUAAGGCCAUAAAUCUCUGCACGAGAUAAUCAGCGAAAAUUCCCAAAAAAAUCCGGCAUGAAAACUUAAUUGACUUGAAUUAAUAAUUUGGAGUACGAUUUGUUGUUGUUUGUGCGCCUACGGUUUUUUCGGUGCGAAUGUGGCUACAAAGCGGAAUCGGAAAAAGUUACUGAAAUACAAAAGCCAGAAAAAAAAAGAAUACAUAGAGAACUUGCCGCUGCCGUUGCCGCCUGUGAAAGCGAGUCCAGUGAACGAGAGGGGGUGGAGAAAGGCAGGAAGGCGAAGAAAGGAGAGAGAGGCGCACAGGAGUGGGCCACAGGAGCGGAGGUGGUCGCGGAGUUGGAGAAAGGUCCGAGAGACGGAAGCAAGAGAACCGCCAUUACUGUGCAAGCCGAAAGAGAGAGCGCCCCAAAGAGAGCACCAGGAGAAAGUGGGAAAAAGUUUGUGGAACCCGUUAGCGGUGGAUGGAAAAUUUAUAAACAAAACUUGGAUUCCACAAAGAAAGCAACGGAAAAAGGAUGAUUAAUUCGAUGAAUAACCAAAUAGAAUAAAAUAAAAAGGACACAUUAUCAGUAAUUACUGAAUAAACAUAAUAUUGAACCACAGAAAUGAGAGCUAAUGCUCUAACCAAACAUAUCAUUCAAAAAACAAUUCGAAAAUUGUGGAACUAAAUCCAAAAAUCGGACUUUUUCCUACAAAACCCAAAAAAAAAUCAAUUUCAAUGAAAUAAAAAUAAGAACAACUAGAAACUAAAAGGAAUUCAAUAAAUUUAAUGAACUCUUAAACCAAUACAUAUCAUGUAAUAACGCCCAGAAAGCUUGCUGAAUUAUUUACCAAGCUAUAUAUUCUGUGAAAAAAUACAAAAACUAAUCUUAAUGAAUUAGUUUAAGGAAAUCGUGCAAAAUAUCGCAUACAUAUCAACACUCUUGCAAAGAGUAAAGCCUAGUUUAAUCCAGAAUUAGUCAUUAAAUUUACAAAAGAAAGUAUAUUAAAAUAGUACUUGCAUCAAUGUAUUAAAAUUGCUUAAAGAAUAACCCCUAAGGUAGCCAUUUUUGUUAGAAGUUUUACAUCAGUUAUCGAAUAAAAAAGAAUAUAUACAAAAGUAUCGCCACAUAUCAUUGAGGUAGCCUCACAAGAUUCAAAGACAGUGAAAACUAUAUCAGCUGAAAAAUAUUAUACCGACUUCAUUGACUUGCAGAAAUUUUUAAAGAAAAGUUAAUUACUUUAUUAAGUGGACCAAUUUCAAACGCCGAUAAGACUCGAUAACACACAACGGAAAACUACACAUUAAUUUGCCAACUGCCUUGCCUAUUAUGCAGAUCCAAAGAAAAACAUCAGAUUUAAAGUAAUACAUUUCUGUUAUGCGCUACCGUCUUUUGGGCCAAGUUAAAGUGCCGCUAGCAAGGCUAAAGGAAAAAGAAACAGCGUCGAAACUUUUCGCCAAAGUAGGUGAAGAUUCAGAAGCUUGUUCCUGUUCCAUUGCGUGAGCGUUUUUUCACAGAAUAGAUUGGUGAGGCAGUAGGAAUGCCAAGAAAGUAACUUUAAACGGUAUCCGUGUAGUCGUCUACUUCUUAGUGGUCUCGAGACUUCAGUGCAUAUUUAAUGGCAUUUGUGAAAGCACACGCAGCUUGAUUGGCAAGCAGAUGAUGUCAUCUACGUCUGGGCUGCGAAAGUGGAUUUUCUAGGAGUACCUCCUACAGGUGGACAACCGGGCUUAAUCGCUGCCCCAAGAAUUAAUCAAAAUUCAUGUAGCAUACCAUCCCACAUCUCCCAGAAUACAGCAAAUGCAAUUAGGCUGAGCUGUUUCUCCUACGGGUAAUACGUAAGAGUUUUAUGUAAGCACACUGAGAGAAAUCUUACACUACGCAUUACACUAAUUCAAAUAAUUUCAUUAAAAAUUGUAAUAAAAAUUGGGAAAUCCGUAGAUUAAUCGGUGAAUGUCCUACACAUCUUCGGGCUAAUCAAUAUGAGAGAGUUGGUACAAAGACUUUACAGUGUACAAUUAUGAAUGUGUGUGGCCCGGAGCAAUCAUUUAAAUAGCCUACGUUUUAGGUACCUCACACGCCGCAUGACAUCCGCACAAAUAUAUCAUAAGCGGGCGGGACACAAAA